AUUAUAGAAAUACGUCACAUUAGA
rnacentral:snRNA from 1 species